rnacentral:tRNA from 1 species
GCCGGAGUGGCGGAACGGGAGACGCAGGGGACUUAAAAUCCUCCGCCUUCGGGCGUGCGGGUUCGAAUCCCGCCUCCGGCACCA